GACGAACGCUGGCGGCGUGCUUAACACAUGCCAGUCGAACGGAAAGGCCCUGCUUGCAGGGUGCUCGAGUGGCGAACGGGUGAGUAACACGUGGGUGAUCUGCCCCUUAUUUUGGGAUAAGCCUGGGAAACUGGGUCUAAUACUGGAUAGGACCAUGCUGUAGGUGGUGUGGUGGAAAGAUUAGUUUCGGUAAGGGAUGAGCUCGCGGCCUAUCAGCUUGUUGGUGGGGUAAUGGCCUACCAAGGCGUCGACGGGUAGCCGGCCUGAGAGGGUGGACGGCCACAUUGGGACUGCGAUACGGCCCAGACUCCUACGGGAGGCAGCAGUGGGGAAUAUUGCAAAAUGGGCGCAAGCCUGAUGCAGCGACGCCGCGUGGGGGAUGACGGCCUUCGGGCUGUAAACUCCUUUCAGCCAUGACGAAGCCCUUGUGGUGACGGUAGUGGUAGAAGAAGCACCGGCUAACUACGUG
rnacentral:rRNA from 1 species